GGGGAUGUGGCUCAGAGGCAGAGCAUCUGCUUGGUAUGCAAAGCGUCCCAGGUUCAAUCCCUGGCAUCACCA